rnacentral:misc_RNA from 1 species
CACCACUCAAGCCUCGCUUGGUCUUGGGCGCCGCGGUCCGCCGCGCGCCCCAAUGUCUCCGGCUGAGCCGUCCGUCUCUAAGCGUUGUGAUAAACGAUCCGCUUGCGAGGCCGGGCCGGCUUGUUCGCCGUUAAACCCCCCAUCUUUUAACA